rnacentral:rRNA from 1 species
UACGUAGGUGGCGAGCGUUGUCCGGAAUUACUGGGCGUAAAGCGUGCGUAGACGGUAGCGUAAGUCGGGUGUGAAAGCCCCGGGCUCAACCUGGGAAUUGCAUUCGAGACUGCUCUGCUAGGGUGCGGAAGAGGGGAGCGGAAUUUCCGGUGUAGCGGUGAAAUGCGUAGAUAUCGGAAGGAACACCAGUGGCGAAAGCGGCUCCCUGGUCCAGCACCGACGUUCAGGCACGAAAGCGUGGGGAGCAAACAGG